rnacentral:tRNA from 1 species
GGUGGUGGCUCAGUGGUAGAGCAUUUGCCUAGCAUGUGGGGGGUACUGGGUUCAAUUCUCAGCACCG